AUGCUAUACCGGUUAAACUCCGCCAUUUUGCCUCUUAGUGCUCAUGCUUGAGCCCGCUUGCCCAACUCCUGAGAUGUCAUCGGGAAGCUGCUGAUCAGCAAUUACAGCUCAGCCCCACCUUCUCUGAAACUAUCUCAGAACCAGUGGCUUUGGUUGGGCACUGGAAGUACAUAAAGAAGAAGACAUACAUGCUGUCUCAGGGUGAUCGUGGGUCUCUAGCCAGGAGUCAGAUGACAUCACCACCAUCACAAGCUGGUGAUGCCAGAGAGAGGAAAUGUUCCAACACAUCUGAGGAAACACAUGCCUUCCCAGACUGGCCUGUUGCUGUUUCCCAGGAGCUGCAUUCUGGAAGGUGGACCAUCAGGUGGAAGAAGUAUUCUUCAGAGAGCUGCCUUCCCAAGGGAAUGGUGACAGCUUGCGCUUGCCGGGGAGUCCUGCUGCCUUCCGAGGUGUGAAGGGAAGGCAUGCACUGUGCAUAUGCUGUACCAUACAGUUUUGCCUACAACUGCUUGUAGCUUCAUUGUAGCUGUGAAUGCUCCGUUCCUCUCCUUUUCACCCCUGAAGAUUCGCGAACAUGCAGGAUUGAGCUGUGCGAGGCAUAGCAUUCCCCACAUGGUAGACGAAGGCGGAUGUGGGUCUGAUGGCUCUACUGCCGUCCACCCGGGAGGAUGGACGUGUGUUCCGGGAUAUCAGAGCUUGCGGCUGACCAGCCCACAUGUCCAUGCAGCCCUCCCGCUGGCUGUGUCGACAUUUUGGGUGUCACUGAAGGAUUUUACUGGUGCAGACUUUACAAAGGCAAAAUUGUUUCUCAAGGAAGUGGACAUGAAAGAUCUAAAAUCAGGGCUGCUUAAAAAAAGCAAGCACAGAUUAAUGACCUAUCUACAUCCUACACGGUUUUAGGACUGCGCCUAGAUGGGCUUAAAGACCCUAGCCUAAAAACUGUAAAUGUGCUUCCGUCUUUGCCCUGUAGGACAAGAAAGCCUUACGGGCUUGCUUCUAACUGUGAGAGGAGGAGAGGCCAGGAAGGGAGAGGGAGAAAAGGAGGAGAACAGGAGACGAGAAGGAGGGGAGAGUGAGGAGAGGAGGAGAGAGGCUUGUCAAAAUCUUUUUAGUGCACAAAACUAAUUUUGUUCAUCUUGGAUUUGGUGAGCUGGGUAAUAUUCUGUGCACGGCUCCUAAAUGAAUUAUUAAAUGUCAACUCAAG
rnacentral:lncRNA from 1 species